GACGAACGCUGGCGGCGUACUUCAUGCAUGCAAGUCGAACGAGGUCCAUCCGGUAGCAAUACUGGUGAAGACCUAGUGGCGAACGGGUGAGUAACACGUGAGCAACCUGCCCCGAAGACUGGGAUAACAGCGGGAAACCGCUGCUAAUACCGGAUAUCCCCAAGCUCUCGCAUGGGAGUUUGAGGAAACGAAUUUUGCUUCGGGAUGGGCUCGCGGCCUAUCAGCUUGUUGGCGGGGUAAUGGCCCACCAAGGCUUCGACGGGUAGCUGGUCUGAGAGGAUGAUCAGCCACAUUGGGACUGAGACACGGCCCAGACUCCUACGGGAGGCAGCAGCAGGGAAUCUUGCGCAAUGGGCGAAAGCCUGACGCAGUAACGCCGCGUGGGGGAUGAAGGCCUUCGGGUUGUAAACCCCUUUCAGCAGGGACGAAAUUGACGGUACCUGCAGAAGAAGCUCCGGCCAACUACGU
rnacentral:rRNA from 1 species